UCUCUCUCUCUCUUCAUCUCCUCCACAGAGAUACAAACCUCCAGAAGCGGUUCCUUACCGGAGGACCUCGCCCGCCUCGGAGCUUACUACGAUCUCUUCAUUUUCAUCACUGCCGGAGAAGCAGAUAUCUGCUUCUACAGUAGCGCCUCUGAUUUGUUAUCCAUAAUCAGAAGCAGGAGACCGCGAAAUGAGCCAAGACGCCAAGAGAAGCGUUCCCGAGACUGUGCGGACGAAGCCGAAUUUUGACGAGCGAAAACCCUCGCCGGCUGUCACCACACUGGAUUUGAUUCGGAAAUAGGGUUUGGCUUAAUCUGGAGAUGGCUGUCAAUGUUAUAGAGCCGUGGUUUAUUGGUUUUGGCGGUUAACUCAUUCCUUGGCAAAUUUGUGUCUUCGCUUACGUUGGCGGAGGCUCUUAAUUACAAUCAGGUACAGGUAUUUGUGAGAGAUUUUGUUCCUACUAGUUUGGCCUGCCUUCCAGAUGGCUUAGAUGGGACGCCAGUUGUAUCUAUGAAUUAUGACUCGAAUUGGUUAGCAGGUGUCCCCCAGAUGUUGCGUUACUAAAAAGAAAUAUGCACGAGUGAGUGAUGGUAUAUGUCAGAAAUUGCUGGAGCUGAAACCAAGAAUGCCUCGUGGAAUUUUUUGUAUAAAUUUUAUGAUGCACAAGUUGUUCUUUAUCAUUCAGGAGUACAACAAGAUGUUGAAGCCAAGCCAUGUGUCCCAAUAGUUUAUUAAUAGAUAAAAUGUUGUUUUUCUUUAUUGACUAUAAAGCUCAAUUUUGCAUCUGGGUUUCUGUUUACUUUUCUCUACUUAUCGUGCUUGCUUUUCAUGGCAGAUGUAUUCUCCAGAGAGCAAUGCUUGCUCGCACAGCUAGUCUUUCUUAUUUAAUUAUUUUAUGAUAGUUAUGCGACUGUCAAAAUACAUGACUUUGACCUUGGAUCAUGCUCAUUUGAUCAGUUUGUAAUAGAAAUACCAGCUGAUGUAUUUGUUUUUGU